UCAUAAGCGAUGAAGCAGUACAGUAGUGAGGGUGGCACCGGUUAAGAGACCUAACGGCGCUGGAAGUUAGGACGACCAUCAUCACGAAUUACCCUGUGGAGCGGCCGAGUGAUCGGCGGGUCAUUCCGUUAACAAUGACGAGCGGUUGUCAAUUGACAACAACUUGGGUGGUAACGCGGAUUUCAAUUCGUCCCUGAU
rnacentral:ncRNA from 1 species